rnacentral:lncRNA from 10 species
GCCUGGCUAAUUUUUUUUAUUUUUAUUUUUAUUUUUUUAGUAGAGAAGGGGUUUUGCCAUUUUGGCCAGGCUGGUCUCGAACUCCUAACCUCAGGUGAUCCACCCGCCUCGGCCUCCCAAAGUGCUGGGAUUACAGAGCUAUAACUAUUUAUUGAAAGUAUUUAGGUCUGAAAAUAUUUGUCCUGUUGGGAACUGAAACUAGAAAAAGAAAGACAUUUUUUUUUCUGGGCCACUGUGAGUAGCUGUUGCAGGAAGUGCAAAGGCGAAGGGGUGGUAGGAACAGCUAGUUGUCCACCAACAAAUUGUGCCUUACCUUCCAUAGGCUUAAUGGUUUCUGAGACGUGGCAGCCCAGCCAGGGAUUGCACUUCCUGGCUCCCCUUGCAUGUAGGUGGAGCUAUGUCAUACCUUCUCCUGUGGAAUGUGAUCAGAAGAGACAGGUGUCACUUGCAGGUCAAGAUGGUUAAGAAGAGGGUGUGACUUGCCAAAAGAUAGAAGCAACUUGGGUGUCCAUCAUGGAUGAAUAACUAAACAAAGUAUGGUGUAUACUGCAAUGGAAGGAAAUUC